UAAAUAGAAUGAAAUUCGAAACAGUGUGGCUGUGGCCAUUGAUUGACACAUUAAAUUCAUCCAUUGACUGGGACAAUUUAGGUGAACGUUUGUAUGUAACGACCAGUGCUCACUAUGUACUUUUUAAAGACACUUAAACUGUGGGGUCACCAAAGGUUCUCAACACCUUAAUAAAGUAAUUCGAAAAAUUAAUCAGAAAUAACACGAUGUUUUGAUUUAUAUCAAUUAUAUAAACCAAAACA
rnacentral:lncRNA from 1 species